UGAGUACGAGAUGCUACGGCAUCGAAGCAGUCUAUGUCAUACUUCCAAGAAAAGCUUGCACUGUCAUAAACAAAUAAUGCCUGUACCAUAACCGACACAGGUGGGUAGGUAGAGUAUACUAAGGGGCGCGAGAUAACUCUCUCUAAGGAACUCGGCAAAAUGACUCCGUAACUUCGGGAGAAGGAGUGCCUUAUUUUAUAAGGUUGCAAUAACAAGAUCCAAGCAACUGUUUACCAAAAACACAGGUCUCCGCUAAGUCGUAAGACGAUGUAUGGGGGCUGACGCCUGCCCAGUGCCAGAAGGUUAAAGAAGUUGGUUAGCAUUAGCGAAGCUGAUAACUGAAGCCCUGGUGAACGGCGGCCGUAACGAUAACGGUCCUAAGGUAGCGAAAUUCCUUGUCGGGUAAGUUCCGACCCGCACGAAAGGCGUAAUGAUUUGGAUACUGUCUCGGAGAGGGGCUCGGUGAAAUAGACUUGUCUGUGAAGAUGCGGACUACCUGCACCUGGACAGAAAGACCCUAUGAAGCUUUACUGUAACUUGAGAUUGAAAUUGGACUUUAUUUGCGCAGUAUAGGUGGGAGACGUUGAAAAUAUUCUUGCGGGAAUAUUGGAGUCAUCAGUGAGAUACCACUCUUUUAAUGUUAGAUUUCUAACUUUGUAUCAUUAUCCGGUCAAAGAACAGUCUCAGGCGGGCAGUUUGACUGGGGCGGUCGCCUCCCAAACGGUAACGGAGGCGCACAAAGGUUUCCUCUGAACGUGUAGAAAUCGUAUCUAGAGUGUAAAGGCAUAAGGAAGCUUGACUGUGAGACCUACAAGUCGAGCAGGGACGAAAGUCGGUCUUAGUGAUCUGACGGUGCUGAGUGGAAAGGCCGUCACUCAACGGAUAAAAGUUACUCUAGGAUAACAGGCUGAUCUCCCCCAAGAGUUCACAUCGACGGGGAGGUUUGGCACCUCGAUGUCGGCUCAUCGCAUCCUGGGGCGGUAGUACGUCCCUAGGGUUGGGCUGUUCGCCCAUGAAAGCGGUACGCGAGCUGGGUUCAGAACGUCGUGAGACAGUUCGGUCCAUAUCCGGUGUAGGCGUUAGAAUAUUGAGAGGAGCCUUCUUUAGUACGAGAGGACCGAGAAGGACAUACCUCUGGUGUACCAGUUAUCGUGCCAACGGUAAACGCUGGGUAGCUAUGUAUGGAGAGGAUAACCGCUGAAAGCAUCUAAGUGGGAAGCCCACCUCAAGAUUAGUAUUCUU
rnacentral:rRNA from 1 species